GACGAACGCUGGCGGCGUGCCUAAUACAUGCAAGUAGAACGCUGAAGAGAGGAGCUUGCUCUUCUUGGAUGAGUUGCGAACGGGUGAGUAACGCGUAGGUAACCUGCCUUGUAGCGGGGGAUAACUAUUGGAAACGAUAGCUAAUACCGCAUAACACUGGAUGACCCAUGUCAUUUAUUUGAAAGGGGCAAAUGCUCCACUACAAGAUGGACCUGCGUUGUAUUAGCUAGUAGGUGAGGUAACGGCUCACCUAGGCGACGAUACAUAGCCGACCUGAGAGGGUGAUCGGCCACACUGGGACUGAGACACGGCCCAGACUCCUACGGGAGGCAGCAGUAGGGAAUCUUCGGCAAUAGGGGCAACCCUGACCGAGCAACGCCGCGUGAGUGAAGAAGGUUUUCGGAUCGUAAAGCUCUGUUGUAAGUCAAGAACGAGUGUGAGAGUGGAAAGUUCACACUGUGACGGUAGCUUACCAGAAAGGGACGGCUAACUACGUG
rnacentral:rRNA from 1 species